CCUGGUGGCUCAGAGGGUAAAGCAUCUGCCUGCAAUGCAGGAAACCUGGGUUCGAUCCCUGGGUCGGGA
rnacentral:tRNA from 1 species